AUACAACUAUGACCAUGGACUUUGUUCCGCCAGUACUGCCGCUGUCUCAAGCUGUUUUUGACCACCAUAGCAAGUGUCACACGACACCAUCAUCAUGUUCAUGUUCCUCACAUCUCCCUCUUUCAUUCGCAACAUGGAUCGGGACUCAAAACACUUUAUUUAUUUUCUUCAAAAAUCACACCACCGCCUUUGGAUUGAGAUUCUGGCCAUCACAAGUAUUACCGAUGAAAACCGAUACCAUAUUUGAUUUCCACCUUUGUCACAGCUUUUUUCUUGAAUUCCGGCCAUCACGUUCAUCUUCUUGAAAAACUGAUACCGUUUUUGGAUUUAUCUCGUCGAAACCUUCAAGAAGCACUACUCAUUUGUGUAUUUCGGUGAAGUUAACGUCGUACCCAAUCGGCGCUCUGGCGCGUUGAUAAGGUCUUUCCUAAUAACUUGUUUCAUUCCAUUUUGAAUACGUUUCUUCUCCUAACAUUUUUAUUAAUUAUCUAACAUUGAUUUUUAUGCUCCGCAUAAAUUACCAGUCAUAUUUCAUUUACACUGCAAAUUCGUUGAUGGUUUUGGACCUGUUUGUUGCGCGUUGUCAAUAUGUCAUGAUUGCUCGAAAUUGUUCUGAUUCUUAUAUCGUACGAAAAUGUCAAACUCAGGGAUGGGGUGAGAGUGAGUUCGAAUUCAUGAGUGUAAAUGAAGUUAAAUGAAUGGGAAAACCGUAUGUCCCAUAAUCCAUUUCGGGCUCACUGCGUACGGCUGAAUCCCUAUGAGUAAUAAUUGACUAAUAAAAAAAACUUGAAUUUGGUGAGAUUAAAAUAUGAAUGAGAAACUUUUAUAGGGUGUUGUUUGAAUUGAUUUCAGAAAUCGCGUGGUAGUUCAAUUAUUUUAGAAUUGUGUAUUUGACGUAUGUUGUGUUUUGUUUAUAUUCACCCUUGUUAUAUGAUAUAAAAUGUGAUAAAUUGUAGUUAGGUGACUUGGAGGUAGUACUCCAAAUAUCGGGAGUUACCAUACAACACACUUUUACCUCGAUUGUCGUGUAUAUGUGUCUCGGAUUGAGUUGAGGGGAUUUAUGAGGACAUGACCAAUUUGAAUUGUUCGUCCACUUGCGCGGUGACAUAGUAUCAAGCCUCUUAACCAAGUAUUUUAUAGUUUGAAUGAUAUCAAAGAAAGAGGAGGAGUUUAGUGUAGAAGAGUAUGCAUAACAUUACUUAAUUUGUGUGAUGACUUACUUGACGUUGUGGAUUGUAUCAAUGUUUUACCUUGGUUAUUAUUGUUAACAUUUGAUAUGAUACAAUGUUUAAUUAAUGUUUUACGUGUUCUUCUCAAUCAUUUUAUACUAUUACAUGUUUUCGAAAUUCACCAAUUGUUGUUUGUGUUUGGCUCUAGUGAGGGUGCAGUUAUUUUGGGAUAUCAGUUGAUGAUCCAUUCUCUGAUAGGUGAUAUUGAGUGGGAGUAAUUCGUUGUAUUUUAUCGAGUUGUAAAAUUUUCUCAAUUAAAAACCCGAGGUAAAUAUCCGUAAUACUUAGUUUGACUGAUAAAUGUCAAUAUUAUUAGUUUGGAUAUUAUAUUU
rnacentral:lncRNA from 1 species